UACGGAGGGUGCAAACGUUGCUCGGAAUCAUUGGGCGUAAAGCGCACGUAGGCGGUUUGUUAAGUCGGGUGUGAAAGCCCUCGGCUCAACCGAGGAAGUGCAUUCGAAACUGGCAAGCUGGAGUACUGGAGAGGAUGACGGAAUUCCCGGUGUAGAGGUGAAAUUCGUAGAUAUCGGGAGGAACACCAGUGGCGAAGGCGGUCAUCUGGACAGAUACUGACGCUGAGGUGCGAAAGCGUGGGGAGCAAAC
rnacentral:rRNA from 2 species